AAAUGUGAACCUGACGCCUAAGGAACAGUCAGUGAUCAAUGCAUUUUAUCAGCCACUAAUGGCAUUCUGGGUUAAUUGCCCGCUCUCAUCAGCAUCCGUAGUAACAGCCUAACAGGUAUUCUUAAGUUGAAGAAAUAUGAAUAAGAUUUUAUAGAAGAGGCCCAAACCCCUGUUCAUAAAGCUGUUUAUGGAAAACCUAUACAAAAUUGUUAACCUCCUUAGAUUCCUUAAAUGGCGGAGUAUGUUAAGAUCGUGUACAUUAAUGUGUUUCCAACAAGAAAUCGCUUACAUGUUUGGUAGUUUAUUGUCCUUUAAGCUAAACAAUUGAUUUCUUAUGGCAAAUGUUAUCAAAUAUUUUGUCUUCAAUGCAAUUACAUAUGUUUGCUGGAGAUUUGAAGGACAUAGGGCCUUCAAAGCAUAUGAGAUGCCAUACACAACCAUGAGGUAGGGAAAUGUUUACAUAAUUAGUUUGGGUUUUAAACGGCAUUUGUCAAUGUUACCAUGAUAGUUUCAACAUUAUGUUAUCAUAUAAACUUAACUUAUACCGACAUAUAAAUGAUUAUGAUGUUAAUUUUAUCCUACAUUGUACAUGGUGGUAAUUUACUUGGUGGUAGACUUGAUGAUUGUAUUAAAUAACAUUUUUGGCUUGACCCAACACAACAUGCUAUUCAGAGAAUAUGAUAGGAUGAACAAAAACAACAAAUUGAAGGCUAACUGGCUGCUGUCAUAUGAAUCAAAAUCUGUUGAAUGUAAGGAACAAUAUACAUAAAAAACAACCUUAUUUGUAUGGUUGUCCAUUAAACAAAUACUUAUUCCAUGAUUUACUUUUCAGAGUAGGUUCCUAAAAGACCAUCAUCAGUCACAGAUCGGUUUCCAGUCUAGCAGCGGGCUCUCUGAUAUGUUGAGCCAAGAAGGUUGGGGACAUUGCUCGAGCUUUUGCAGCAACGGACUAUUUGCUCAGGACCUAAAGGCGAACGCCUAACACACCAUACCCUCGUCGGUGUACGGCAAGUCUUACCCUGGUUCUCAUACUAUUCCGGCUCACAGUCUUCAUCCACAAGGAUCCGUACCGUCGCAAGUUCAAGCUCAGAGGACCAUGUUCCCCAAAUCCAAUGAGACAGGUCAAGUUGUCCUGCUAACAACAAGAGCACCCCAAAUUUGUGAGAAAGAAAGCCGCAGGAUAAGCAUAAAUAACUUCUUCAGCAUCAACAGAAUCAGCAACAACAAUCCUCACAAUUUGGCAAUCAACCUCUCCCUGGACAAUAAUUUCCAAAUAUAAGGAAUACAUUGCCUAGCUAAUGAACAGUGUCCGAGCGUGGAACAUUUAAGAGGAACAGGAUCCUGGGUCAGCAUGGUACCAAUCUAGCAAAAAAAAAGUCUAGCAGCUGCCCCCUAGAAGGAGCCUCGUUAGCCCCAGGGUGGAGUCAUGAUGCCCCUGGAUCAACAACUCUCCCGGUCUCUUCACAACAGUAAUAGAGCAACAUGGCCUUUCAGGUGCCUCUUGAUACAGCAAUUAUCUCAAAUAUCUCUCUGAUGGCGGACAGCUGUACACAUCGCAAAAUAAGCGCUUCAUGAUUAGCUGCCAGCAGUAUCCACGCAACAAACCUAUGAUCACCCAACAACAGCUUCGUCAGCAUAAGGGGUCGAGUAAGCCAUCAACAAUGUUUGGGAAGACUAGGCGCAGAAGUUUGCUUGAACAUCAGCUCAAAACAAAUGUCGCUGCACAAAAUCUCAACAGGAUCCGUGCAAGGUCAGCCCUCCAUACAGUGCCGUAUCCAUGACGAUGAAGUCCUCCAACUUUUCCCAGUACUCACUUUUGUGUUAGAGUAAGGUUCAUGUCUCAUGGGCUUUGGUGGUCUUGGUAAGAUGGGCAUGUUAGAAUGAAGAGAUGGGACAUGGUCCAUUUGAAUAAAGACUUUGUUGCAAUUUUGUCUUCAAUAAGUCAAUUAUAAAAAUGAUUGCAAUACAAAAGGAAUACUUAAGCUGCUAUUUAUAAAAUUCAUCAAACGUAUGUACCGGAGAUUGCAAUUUGUAUAACCCUUAUUGCUAGAGGACAUACACGUUUUCUCAGAAAAUAUCACCUACACAGAUGUUUUGAUAAUAUAAAAUAUUUUUCGAAACGGAAAAAAUAUCAUUUUUUAAAUUUCCAAAUGGAUGGUUUGACUUUAAGAUAUUUGGAAAUAAAGAUUUAAAAAAAAAGAAACAAAUGCAUCUAUAGUUACUUCAGACACCAAAUUACAAUCAAACGAGCCAAUAUGAAAGACAGCCUGUUGAAGCAGUGAGUCAUAAAUAGAAGUUCAGUGAUAAAUAAAAUAUAACACUCAAAGUGCCUACGUUGGCCUUGUUAAAGCCUCUGUAAUCAUUGUGAUUAAUUAUGAUGUGAGACCUGGUCGAAAACAUGUGGCAGAAUGAAAUGGCGGAAUGACAAAACAUAACAAGGCAUUUGGCCAACCAUUAACUUGUGUGGCCAGCAACGUUUUGUCAUGUGACUUGCGAAUACAAGUCAUUUAUUAUGGGAAUUAUAAUGCUGUCAAUUAUUUGAUUUAAAUGAUUUUUGUUAAAUGUAGCAAAAAUUGUUAUUCGAAAUAGAGUGAAUGGUACUUGUUAAAAGCAGUUAUGGACAGUAUUAUUUUAAGCGCAAAAGAAUGCAAGUCUGUGUUACUACUUUGUAUUCUGAAAUGCCCACUCAUUAAUUUAUUCCAGAUGUUGGUUCAGACUAUGGAAAAAUAAGAUUGUUUCAUACGCUCAGUUUAAGCUUCAGCAAAGCUGU